CCUACGGGUGGCAGCAGUGAGGAAUAUUGGUCAAUGGGCGUAAGCCUGAACCAGCCAAGUCGCGUGAGGGAUGAAGGUUCUAUGGAUCGUAAACCUCUUUUAUAGGGGAGUAAAAGACGGGACGUGUCCCGUUUUGAGUGUACCUUAUGAAUAAGGAUCGGCUAACUCCGUGCCAGCAGCCGCGGUAAUACGGAGGAUCCGAGCGUUAUCCGGAUUUAUUGGGUUUAAAGGGUGCGUAGGCGGCCUUUUAAGUCAGCGGUGAAAUUCGGUGGCUCAACCCUCGACUAGCCGUUGAAACUGGGAGGCUUGAGUGUGUGAGAAGAAGGCGGAAUGCGUGGUGUAGCGGUGAAAUGCAUAGAUAUCACGCAGAACUCCGAUUGCGAAGGCAGCAUACC
rnacentral:rRNA from 1 species